rnacentral:rRNA from 1 species
GUACGUGAAACCGUUCAGGGGUAAACGGGAGACGUCCUGAAAUUCGAAAGGGAUUUUGGAUUCAGGUGCUCAUUCGGUAAACGGGCCGUCGCCACGCAGAUGGCGCCUGCCGCCCGCGGCGAGUUCUUCGCUCGCGGUGUCGUCGCAGGCGAUCACUCGGUGGGUCUGACGAGGUACCCGCGCCGUGGCACCGCACUUCCUCCCUAGUAGAAACGUCGCGACCCGUUGGGUGCCGGCCUGAAGGCCCGGGAUGGUGCCCGUGGCCCCUCAGACGCCUGACCGCGCGGGGGCCCGGACUCCCGGAUGCCCGGCCGGCUGCCCGACGGUAAGAUCAGAGGAGUCGACCCGCUAGUAGAAACUGAGCGAUGGUGAAGCGUCYGGCCCGGCGUCGGCGAGCGUGGUGGUCCAACCCGGUCACCGGUGGGGUGCCCGUGCCCGGCACGGCCCCCGACCCCUGCUCGCCUGUCGUCGGUGUCCUCGGACUGGGUCGAAACUCCCGUCUGCGGCGCCUUUCUUCGGACC